rnacentral:rRNA from 1 species
UACGUAGGGGGCAAGCGUUGUCCGGAUUUACUGGGCGUAAAGAGCGUGUAGGCGGCUUGGUAGGUCCGCUGUGAAAACUCGAGGCUCAACCUCGAGAUGUCGGCGGAAACCACUUGGCUAGAGUCCGGAAGAGGAGAGUGGAAUUCCCGGUGUAGCGGUGAAAUGCGCAGAUAUCGGGGAAGAACACCUAUGGCGAAGGCAGCUCUCUGGGACGGUACUGACGCUGAGACGCGAAAAGCGUGGGGGAGCGAACAGG